UACAGAGGGUGCAAGCGUUAAUCGGAAUGACUGGGCGUAAAGGGCGCGUAGGUGGUUACUUAAGUUAGAUGUGAAAGCCCCGGGCUUAACCUGGGAAUUGCAUCUAAUACUGAGUAGCUUGAGUAGAGUAGAGGGGAGUGGAAUUUCCGGUGUAGCGGUGGAAUGCGUAGAUAUCGGAAGGAACACCAGUGGCGAAGGCGGCUCCCUGGGCUCAUACUGACACUGAGGCGCGAAAGCGUGGGGAGCAAACAGG
rnacentral:rRNA from 1 species